rnacentral:rRNA from 1 species
GCGUGCUUACACAUGCAAGUCGAACGAGAAUCACCGGAAGGAGUUUUCGGACAACGGAAGGUGAGGACAGUGGCGGACGGGUGAGUAACGCGUGAGAACCUGCCUUUCAGAGGGGGACAACAGUUGGAAACGACUGCUAAUACCGCAUAACGCAUAGGUAUCGCAUGGUACUUAUGCCAAAGAUUUAUCGCUGAAAGAUGGCCUCGCGUCUGAUUAGCUGGUUGGUGAGGUAACGGCCCACCAAGGCGACGAUCAGUAGCCGGACUGAGAGGUUGACCGGCCACAUUGGGACUGAGAUACGGCCCAGACUCCUACGGGAGGCAGCAGUGGGGAAUAUUGGGCAAUGGGCGCAAGCCUGACCCAGCAACGCCGCGUGAAGGAAGAAGGCUUUCGGGUUGUAAACUUCUUUUGGCAGGGAAGAGGAGAAGACGGUACCUGCCGAAUAAGCCACGGCUAACUACGUGCCAGCAGCCGCGGUAAUACG